rnacentral:piRNA from 1 species
GUACUGUAAAUAAAGAGAACCUAC